rnacentral:lncRNA from 1 species
CCGAACGCAAAACCUGAAAAAAAAGGGAGGGUUAGGGUGGGUGUUUAACAUCUCUGGGCUAGGUGGGAUGUUUGCGUCCCACCCUAGUCAACAGCCAGUGGAAUCCCGUGGCGCGAAAUACAAAUACCUCAAAUGCUAUAACUUCAAUUUCUCAAACAUAUGACUAUUUUACACCAUUUUAAAGACAAGACUCUCGUUAAUCUAACCACACUGUCCGAUUUCAAAAAGGCUUUACAACGAAAGCAAAACAUUAGAUUAUGUCAGCAGAUUACCCAGCCAGAAAUAAUCAGACACCCAUUUUUCAAGCUAGCAUAUGAUGUCACAAAAACCAAAACCACAGCUAAAUGCAGCACUAACCUUUGAUGAUCUUCAUCAGAUGACACUCCUAGGACAUUAUGUUAUACAAUACAUGCAUGUUUUGUUCAAUCAAGUUCAUAUUUAUAUCAAAAACCAGCUUUUUUUACAUUAGCAUGUGACGUUCAGAACUAGCAUUCCCACCGAACACUUCCGGUGAAUUUAUUAAAUUACUCACGAUAAACGUUCACAAAAAACAUAAAUUAUUUUAAGAAUUAUAGAUACAGAACUCCUUUAUGCAAUCGCGGUGUCCGAUUUUAAAAUAGCUUUUCGGUGAAAGCACAUUUUGCAAUAUUCUGAGUAGAUAGCCCGGCCAUCACAGGCUAGCUAUUUUGACACCCACCAAGUUUGGCACUCACCAAACUCAGAUUUACUAUAAGAAAAAUGUGAUUACCUUUGCUGUUCUUUGUCAGAAUGCACUCCCAGGACUUCUACUUCAACAACAAAUGUUGGUUUGGUUCGAAAUAAUCCAUAGUUAUAUCCAAAUAGCGGCGUUUUGUUCGUGCGUUCAAGACACUAUACGAAGGGUGACGUGCCGGCGCAUAUUGUGACAAAAAAUGUCAAUAUUCCAUUACCGUACUUCGAAGCAUGUCAAACGCUGUUUAAAAUACAUUUUUAUGUUAUUUUUCUUGUAAAAUAGCGAUAAUAUUCCGACCGGGAGAAGUUGUUUUCAUUCAAAGACUCAAAGAAGAAAAUGGACUCUUCACGUGCACGCGCGCACCCGUCUCAUUAUUCUCAGAUCGACCACUUACCAAAUGCGCUACUGUUUUUCAGCCAGUAACUGCAGAGUCAUUAUUCAACGUUCUGGCUCCUUCUGAGAGCCUAUGGGAGCCUUAAAGUGUCACGUUACAGCAGAGAUCCUCUGUUUUGGAUAGAGAUGACAAAGAAGGCCAAGAAAUGGUCAGAGAGGGCGCUUCCUGUUUGGAAUCUUCUCAGGUUUUGGCCUGCCAUAUGAGUUCUGUUAUACUCACAGACACCAUUCAAACAGUUUUAGAAACUUUAGGGUGUUUUCUAUCCAAAUCAAACAAUUAUAUGCAUAUUCUAGUUACUGGGCAGGAGUAGUAACCAGAUUAAAUUGGGUACGUUUUUUUAUCCGGCCGUGCAAAUACUGCCCCCUAUCCCCAACAGGCUAAUGUCGGUGGCGGCUCUGGUGCAGGACGACGAACCCUCUCAUCCUGAAAAUCCGCCCUCAUCGGUGGAAGCUCUGGGCCGCCGACCGUCGCUGGAGGUUCUGGACCGCCGACCAUCGCUGGAGACUCCGGACCACAGACCGUUGCUGGAGACUCCGGACCGGGGGGGCGUCGCUGGAGGCUCCGGACCGGGGGGGCGUCGCUGGAGACUCCGGACCGGGGGGGUGUUGCUGGAGACUCCAGACCGGGGGGUGUCGCUGGAGACUCCGGACCGGGGCACUUCGCUGGAGACUCCGGACCGGGGGGGGGGGGGGCGUCUCAGGAGGUUCCGGGCCGUGGAACUGUCGCCGGAAGCUCCGGGCCGUGGAACUGUCACCGGAAGCUCCGGACUGGGAAUGUGCACUGGAGGCCUGAUGCGUGGGGCUGGCACAGGUGGCGCCAGACUGGUAACACACAUCUCAGGGCGAGUGCGGGGAGCAGGAACAGGACACACCGGACUGGAGAGACUCACUGGAGGCCUAGUGCGUGGAGCCGGGACAGGUGGCCCCAGAC